AACAUUCCAGUGAAAUAAUUUUCCUUCCUGACUCCACUCCACCAUGUGUGUGGUAGCAUGUGUGUGUGUGUGUGUGUGUGUGUGUGAGAAGGAAGAAAAAAUAUACACAAUAAUUGCAGCUAUAGGUUCAGCAGUCCUGCCUGUCACAGUCUCGUCACCCGAAUACACAACGUCAGGUGUGGUGUUAGCAGGAACAUUGUGGAUCAAUGUUUCAAUUUUGGUUUGGAAUGAAAAAGUUACAGCUUCAUAAAUGGUGUAUGAACUCCACAAAAGUUGUGUUACUACUGCAGCUCCUCAUAUCCCUUGGGUGUGUUUUAGAUUUAUAGUAUUUAACCAUAACCCUGAUCAUUACACAGAUGAGUAAUAUAAAUAUGGAAUAAGUUUUUCUUGGCAGAACAGAAGAUCUUAAGCAUUCACGUCCUUAAGCAGGCUUUAUAUUCUUCACAUUCACAUAUUUUUCAUUCUUUCUGUCACGUGAUCCACAGCUCUCUGUUUUGGUGGGAAAGUGUCCUUUAGUAAUCAACUGUGUUCCAAUGUGCAUCACACACACACAGCGUGCAAACACACACACACACUCUCACAUACACAUACAAACGUGUGUUCUAAAGUAGAGGACCUACACUACAGAAUAAAAGUAAAUAUAUAGUGUGUGUGUUGUCAUCAUUAGUGUGUGAAGCUCUUCCUCUUCCUUACAGGAAAUCAUUAUUGUGCAGUAUAACUUCCUGAGGAAGGGCUUAUCAUCUCUGUCCAGAUGGACACACACACCAACACCCACACACAGAGCAGUGUGUGUGUGUGUGUGUGUGUGUGUGUGUGUGUGUGUGUGUGUGUGUGUAGGUCAGAAAUUAAGGUUCUUAGGGGUACUGAGCAGAACUAAGGGGUGCAGAGUGUCAUGUUUCCCGGUGUGGGUGAUGUGCUGAUGUGCUCAUAAAUCGGGGAGAAUUUCACGCCUCUCUGCAGCUCAGCAGAAUGAUUCGAUCUCCCACUAUGCAACAGCACUGUCGUCUCCGGGGACAGGGGAACUUCCCCUUCGGCUCCACCUUCUUCCAGCAGAAUGCCUCUACACACACACAGGAUUGUAAAUCUGCUUGAUUAAUCUGAUGCCCUACCUCUGAAUGGAGUUCCCUUCGAUAGGAGAUCACUCUGUGCAGAUGGAGAUGGUUCCACAUCAACAGCCUAAAGAUCCAUGAAGUUACUAAGCAACUUAAGUACUAGAAGUUUGGAUUUGGACUGUAAUUAUCACCACCAAUUUAAGCGUGCAUCAGUGAACAGUUCACAAAACUGCACACCUCAACAGUGAUGGAACUUUAAUGAAGGGACAUUCAGUGCCACCCAGAUGAGAAUGGCUUUGCUUCUGUAGUCUGUUUAAUCUCAAUGCCACUGGCUCACUCAUUAGGAAUAAACUUUGAGGUACUAAACUUGCAGGCACUAACAUAUAAAUUCAAGUUUUAUAACCUCUUUAUCUCUGUAAAGUUGCUUUGGGACAAUGUCCACUGUUAUAAUGCUCUACAAAUAAAAUUCAAUUAAAUUAUC